GGCGCUGUAGUGUAGUGGUUAUCACUCGAGAUUCUGAUUGCGUGUUCGCAAGCUUAACACUUCGCAAUUCUCGUAACCCAGGUUCGAGUCCUGGCAGUGCCU